rnacentral:tRNA from 1 species
GGGGCUGUAGUAUAACCUGGCUAGAAUAGCUGGCUCCAGACCAGCGGAUCUGGGUUCGAAUCAACUGGUUACGCUCGGUUGACACGCAAUGUGCGGCUUAAAGCCACACGUGCUCACUAAUCGUUCGCAAUCAGUUACGAAAGUCCCAGCAGCCCCA